rnacentral:rRNA from 1 species
UACAGAGGGUGCAAACGUUGCUCGGAUUGACUGGGCGUAAAGGGCGCGUAGGCGGUUUGCACAGUUGGGCGUGAAAUUCCUGGGCUUAACCUGGGGGCUGCGUUCAAUACGUGUAGGCUUGAGUUCGGAAGAGGGUCGUGGAAUUCCCAGUGUAGAGGUGAAAUUCGUAGAUAUUGGGAAGAACACCAGUGGCGAAGGCGACUUACUGGACACAUAUUGACGCUGGAGGUGCGAAAGCGUGGGGAGCAAACAGG